rnacentral:rRNA from 1 species
GAUGAACGCUGGCGGCGUGCCUAAUACAUGCAAGUCGAGCGAACAGACGAGGAGCUUGCUCCUCUGACGUUAGCGGCGGACGGGUGAGUAACACGUGGAUAACCUACCUAUAAGGCUGGGAUAACUUCGGGAAACCGGAGCUAAUACCGGAUAAUAUAUUGAACCGCAUGGUUCAAUAGUGAAAGACGGUUUUGCUGUCACUUAUAGAUGGAUCCGCGCCGCAUUAGCUAGUUGGUAAGGUAACGGCUUACCAAGGCAACGAUGCGUAGCCGACCUGAGAGGGUGAUCGGCCACACUGGAACUGAGACACGGUCCAGACUCCUACGGGAGGCAGCAGUAGGGAAUCUUCCGCAAUGGGCGAAAGCCUGACGGAACAACGCCGCGUGAGUGAUGAAGGUCUUCGGAUCGUAAAACUCUGUUAUUAGGGAAGAACAAAUGUGUAAGUAACUAUGCACGUCUUGACGGUACCUAAUCAGAAAGCCACGGCUAACUACGUG